rnacentral:rRNA from 1 species
AGGGAAUCUUCCGCAAUGGACGAAAGUCUGACGGAGCAACGCCGCGUGAGUGAAGAAGGUCUUCGGAUCGUAAAACUCUGUUGUUAGGGAAGAACAAGUGCCGUUCGAACAGGGCGGCGCCUUGACGGUACCCGGCCAGAAAGCCACGGCUAACUACGUGCCAGCAGCCGCGGUAAUACGUAGGUGGCAAGCGUUGUCCGGAAUUAUUGGGCGUAAAGCGCGCGCAGGCGGUCUUUUAAGUCUGAUGUGAAAGCCCACGGCUCAACCGUGGAGGGUCAUUGGAAACUGGAAGACUUGAGUGCAGAAGAGGAGAGUGGAAUUCCACGUGUAGCGGUGAAAUGCGUAGAGAUGUGGAGGAACACCAGUGGCGAAGGCGACUCUCUGGUCUGUAACUGACGCUGAGGCGCGAAAGCGUGGGGAGCAAAC